UAAACGGCGGUGGUAACUAUAACCAUCCUAAGGUAGCGAAAUUCCUUGUCGGGUAAGUUCCGACCUGCACGAAUGGCGUAACGACUUCCCCACUGUCUCGACCAGGAGCUCGGCGAAAUUGCAGUACGAGUAAAGAUGCUCGUUAAGCGCAGAAGGACGAAAAGACCCCGGGACCUUUACUAUACCUUGGUAUUGGCAUUCGGUGUGGAUUGUGUAGCAUAGGCGGGAGGCCGAGAGGCGCGGUCGCCAGAUCGCGCGGAGCCGUAAGGUGAAAUACCGCUCUGUUCGCAUUGGAUGUCUAACCUCGAACAGUCAUCCUGUUCAGGGACAGUGCCUGGCGGGUAGUUUAACUGGGGCGGUUGCCUCCCAAAGAGUAACGGAGGCGCCCAAAGGUCCGCUCAGCCCGGUUGGCAAUCGGGUGGCGAGUGCAAGUGCACAAGCGGGCUUGACUGCGAGGACGACGGUCCGAGCAGGGACGAAAGUCGGGACUAGUGAUCCGGUGCCGGUGUACGGACGCGGCAUCGCUCAACGGAUAAAAGGUACCCCGGGGAUAACAGGCUGAUCAUUCCCAAGAGUCCAUAUCGACGGGAUGGUUUGGCACCUCGAUGUCGGCUCGUCGCAUCCUGGGGCUGGAGCAGGUCCCAAGGGUUCGGCUGUUCGCCGAUUAAAGCGGCACGCGAGCUGGGUUCAGAACGUCGUGAGACAGUUUGGUCUCUAUCCUCUGCGCUCGUUGGAAUGCUGAGGAGGCCUGCCCAUAGUACGAGAGGACCUGGGUGGACGAACCUCUGGUAUGCCGGUUGUCACGCCAGUGGCACGGCCGGUUGGCUACGUUCGGAAGGGAUAACCGCUGAAAGCAUCUAAGCGGGAAGCCUGCUCCAAGAUAAGCAUUCCGUGGAACCUUCGAGUUCCUGUAGUCCCCAUGCAGAACACGUGGUCGAUAGGCCGGACGUGGAAGCCCCGCGAGGGGUGGAGCCGACCGGUACUAACGGACGAAAGGCAACACUGA
rnacentral:rRNA from 1 species